CUCGUUCUGACUCCGGGAGGCUAUAUAAGGAGCUACUGGCUGCGCACUUCGGUCUUUUACGUCGGCCUUCGCGAGCGUCUGGGCGGGUGGUAGGAACAAUGGCGCUGUCUUCAGUGGCACAGUGGAGCAGCUCUGAAGAUGCAAAGAUACACGAAAAAACUUCCAGAACAUCUGGGAGAAUAUUUAAUGGAAAAUCGCUUGGUUAAAACCUGACACUUUUAACAGUGAACAGCGUUCUGAGUGUGGACGAGUAGCCAGUGAAGAUAAUGAAUGUCGAAUGUGACUGACUAGCAGCUUCAUUUUGAAUGAGGGUCGCUGUCUGCCCAUUGAUAGAGGCCAGAUUGUCUUGGAAGUUCCAAAGUUGCAACGAUUUCUGGCUAGUGCCACGAGGUUUACUUGACUGUUGUGUGAAAAGCUGAUAAGAAAACCAUCCAGAAAAAAGCUCUUCGUUUUACAAACAUGAAAAUAAAACAUGUAAUUUUGGAUUAUGUUCCUUUUUGUUAUUACUUUUAAAUAGGUCCUGAAAUAACAUGGGGAGCAUUAAAUGGAAAAUCCACUAACCAGCCUUGUAAUCAAAUUACUUUAGUUGAAUCCAUGGACAUGAAACCCACAGAUAUAGAGGGUUGGCCCGGUGCAGUGGCUCACGCCUGUAAUCCCAGCACUUUGGGAGGCCAAGGCGGGUGGAUCACCUGAGGUCAGAAGCUUGAGACCAGCCUGGCCAACAUGGUAAAACCCCAUCUCUACUAAUAAUACAAAACAAUUUGCUGGGCAUGGUGGUGCACGCUUGUAAUCCAAGCUACUCCAGAGGCUGAGGCAGAAGAAUCGCUUGAAUCCGAGAGGCAAAGGUUGCAGUGAGCCCAGAUCACACCACUGCUCUCCAACCUGGGCAACAAGAGCAAAACUCCGUCAAAAAAAAAAGAUACAGGGUCAACUGUACACAUUAAACACUUCUAUCAACUAGUGAUGUCAGUCUUGUCCAUUGUAUUAUUGCCUAUCUUACUAAACAGUCAUAUUUCAGGAAGUACAAUAUACUCAAAAACUAAGUUAAUGUUCUUUGUAGAUUUAUGGUUAAUGGAUGAUUCAUAUAAUAGAAACUUAAAUUUAUUUGACCAUUCUAUUUAAUAUAGAAUAAAUACAACUAGCCAGGCAUGGUGGCUCAUGUCUAUAAUGCCAGCACUUGGGGAGGCCAAGGUGGGAGGCUCACUUGAGCAUAGGAAUUCAAGGCCAGCCUGGGCAACACAAUGUGAGACCCGUCUCUAUGAAAAUUUUAAAAAUUAGCCAAGCAUGGUAACACAAGUCUGUGGUCCCAGCUACUUGGGAGGCUGAGGCGCGAGAAGUCCAGGAGGUCAACGCUGCAGUGAGCUGUGUGUGUGCCACUGCAUCCUAGCCUGGGCAACAGAGCAAGACCCUGUCUCAAAAAUAAAGAAUAAAUACAACCUAUUAAGCUUGAGAGAUCCAG
rnacentral:lncRNA from 1 species